UACGGGGGGGGCAAGCGUUGUUCGGAAUUACUGGGCGUAAAGGGCUCGUAGGCGGCCAACUAAGUCAGACGUGAAAUCCCCAGGCUCAACCUGGGAACUGCGUCUGAUACUGGAUGGCUUGAAUUCGGGAGAGGGAUGCAGAAUUCCAGGUGUAGCGGUGAAAUGCGUAGAUAUCUGGAGGAACACCUGCGGCGAAGGCGGGUUGCUGGGCUGACACUGACGCUGAUGCGCGAAAGCCAGGGGAGCGAACGGG
rnacentral:rRNA from 1 species